UCCCAGGUAGUCCAGUGGUUAAGACUCUGCCCUUCCAAUGCAGGGAACCAGGAUUCGAUCGCUUGUCAGGGGA
rnacentral:tRNA from 1 species